AAAUUACUGCCCUACAAAAAUAUACUUUCAGAUUACCAAUAAACGAUGCUUACUGAUGUGUUGAUGGUAUCCCCCCACGGAAAAUACAUCUGUAUAGUUACACGUCUCUGUCAAAAUUUAUAAUAAUGGAAGAGUUGUCACAGGAAUCGAUUAGUGACGAGACGAUCGUGACCUUUUCGACCUUAUAACCUUCGAAGUUGACGAGGCGAUAACUUAGAUCGGUAAUAAGCUUAGAUGGGACGAAACGAGACGUAUCUUUGUAAUGUUUAUGAUAUAACUGGUAGAUGAUCAUGUCGACUAGUUGUAACAUUAUACGUUGGUGAAGCGAGUAGCAACUUAUCAUUUCCAUCAACACUUUGUUGGACUUAUACGCAGCGUGCUGCGAUGGACAUGAACUUUAUGGCAAAACAAAUUUACGGACCUCGCUCGAUUUUUCCUCUUCUCGUCGCAGUUCGCUAUAAAGAUGUGGAAAAGGUCUUCGCGCGGUGGCGGGGACGAGGCAAUAAACGUCACAGAGAUACGACCACACGCAAGAAUAGAUAAAAGUAUAUCUUCGGUACGACGACAACAACAACCAUCCAAAGUACCCUGCAGCAUUGCGAAAUUCGCCCUUGCUACGAACAGCAAACUUCCAUUUGCUCGAAUUAUAAAUUCUGACAAUCCCGGUAGCGUUACCGAUUCCUGUCAAAUAAAUUACCGAAAAGCCCGACCGUGAAAUCGUGCGAAAGCUCUUUCGGGCCAGGGCCGUUUGCUGCAGUACAAAUCAAUUUCGUAAAAAGCUCCCCAAUCGUAAACGAUCCACGAUGUUAUCGCUAACAAGUGUGAGUGAAGCACGGCCACCCAUGAUUGCGGCAAGAAAUUAGUAAUCGAGUGGGGGAGUGAAAAAGAUAACGGACGAAAAGGACGAAACCGGUGGGUUUGUGACAGAGAUGAAAGAAAUCCUUCUCUUAAUCGGGUAAAUCUUCGAAUGUCUUGUUUAAUUUAUCGGUCGUGUUCUCGCGACAUCCGACUAAUUGGGGACAUAUUACAGAUUCAGGUAAAUUCCCACCGCAAAAACAAUAAUCAUAGUGAUGAGCUGAAUGGGCACAUUUCUGAAACAGUGUGAUGCCGGUCCAUUAAUUGGAAUUGAGGGUUCGAGAGGGUACGCCUGAAGCCGUUCCACUAAAUGCCCUUAUUGUUACCGAGUCUAGUUGUGUUUGAUUAUAUGAUUAUCGACGGCAGGUGUUCGAAUUCCAAUCGCAUACUAUUCGUGAUUGAUUGAUUUUUUAUUCUUAUUGUUGUAUCUAUUCUUGCAUUUAAAGGUGUUAAUAUUGCUUGAUGUCAUUAAUCUUCAAAAUUUCUAGCGGUGAUGAUUAAGUUUUUGUCUUCCUUUCUCUCAAUUUUAUAAAUGCCUUUCGGUUUACAGACAGCUGCAAGAAGAGCGGAACGUGCUAGAUGGACCACGACAAUUUAAAUACCGCGAUUCGAUAUCAAUCGACAUUCUUUGAACGGCAUGAAAACAAAGUUAGUAGGUACCAACCAGGGAUCCAUGGUAGUUGAUCCUUAUCAGAAGAAUUUUACCAUCUCCAAAAUGUUACUUCGUAAAGUUGACUAUUUAAUCAAGCAUGUUUUUCCCAAACUGUAAGGACGCUAAUGGCGAGAAUUUCAUGAUUAAUAACAAAAAAAGUUGGAGAGAGUACCUAUGCGUUACCACGCAUGUGUUACUUGAAGAAUGAAAUAUUCCGUGGUUAUACCUAUUUCAACAUGGAUAUAUUGACUAGAUGCUUAUAAAAUGACGAAAGAAAUUUCGCAAAGCAUAAACCUGCUGAGAGGGAUUCAUUUGACACUUUCAUUCUCUGGAUUUUGUCGUUCGAGGCAAAUUUUGUUCCAAGAAUGCAACGUCAGGUAUUUCAGCAAUCAAAAUCAAUACCAUCUUAGUUUAAAUCCUACUCCUAAAGGCAAGCACUCAGUGAGAAG